UACGUAGGGUGCGAGCGUUGUCCGGAAUUACUGGGCGUAAAGAGCUCGUAGGUGGUUUGUCGCGUUGUUCGUGAAAUCUCACGGCUUAACUGUGAGCGUGCGGGCGAUACGGGCAGACUAGAGUACUGGCAGGGGAGACUGGAAUUCCUGGUGUAGCGGUGGAAUGCGCAGAUAUCAGGAGGAACACCGGUGGCGAAGGCGGGUCUCUGGGCAGUAACUGACACUGAGGAGCGAAAGCGUGGGGAGCGAACAGG
rnacentral:rRNA from 1 species